rnacentral:tRNA from 1 species
UUUAUCUUGGUGUAAGUAGCACGUAAAAUUUUGAUAUUUAAGGUAUUAAUUAGAU